UCACGCGCGAUGGCUUAUCCGUUUUUCGUGUAUAACUUUGGUGUUUCUUCACCGAUUUAUAUGGAUCUUUUUUUAAUGAAUAGGUAAUACUAUUAACUAUUUUUAAUUCGUGUGAGUGAGAGUGUUAUAAACGUAAUAGUAGACAAAUAUAAUCAGAAAACUCCAAACUGCUAAGCUACCGAGAGAGUUUUACGUGUUAUUGUGAGUCAACCAUAAAAGAUAGAUAUAUACUGUCAUGGGAUAUUUUUUACAUAAUUUUAUGAAGAACAUUUCCGUCAUACAUGGUUUCUGUGUAGCUGUAACCAUUAGGGUUGCACACGCGACGGAAUCUUAAAAAAUGGAGUAACUUCUCCCGUUUUCCCAACAUUUACCUUCACUGCUCUGCUCCUAUUGAUCGUAGCGUGAUGCAAAGUAUCCUAUAACCUGCCCAGGAGUAUGAAGAAUCAUUGUACCAAGUUUCAUUGAAAUCCGUCAAACAGACAGACAGACAGACAGACAGACAGACAAAAAUUUUUCUGAUUGCAUUUUUGGCAUCAGUAUCGAUCACUAAUCAUCCCCUAAUAGUUAUUUUGGAAAUAUAUUCAAUGUACAGAAUUGACCUCUCUACAGAUUUAUUAUAGGUAAGUAUAGAUUAUCCUUCUUUGAUAUUAUCAACAUUGUUGCAGUUUUUGCUGUUUUUUUUGCGCGAAUUAUGGGGACGCAUUUUACAAAGCAGCGCAGCGCACCUCAUUUACAGCUUGAGCCUCGUUUUAGUGAAGGCAGGUCCAUUUAAUUUCGGGAAGCAAGCCUGUAACCCUUGAAAUCCAGAAUACCUACCUGCACCAGACAUUUUAUACAAAAGUCUUGUUAUAGACUAACGUAAUACAAUCAUACGAUCACAAACCAGCUCUCAACGUAAGCCGGAAAUUACAGGUAGAAAGUUAUUUCUAUCGUAUCGUGCCAUAUCUGUCUCGACCGAUCUCAAGAAAGCAGUCAGGCGCCAUGACGCUUAGAGAAGUCAAGACAUUCACCUGCAUAUGCCAACAAUUUCAAUAACGUAUGUUUGUUUAUUAUUGGAAUGGUAUGUAUGACAGAGUAUCACCUGUUCAGGUUAAGUACAGAUAUUUGCGUUGCAACAUUAUUUGGGAUGAUGCAAAAGACCGGAAGCCGACCACAACACAGAUGGGAAAAGGAUCGGGAGAUGAUGGGAUAUGAUGGGAUGAGAUGAUGGGAUAUUUGGAUAUGUACUACCCGUGCCAAUAAAGAAUGGGAUUAGAAAUGGCGGCGCAUCUAUUCACUUCUCGCUCGCACAUUAUUUCCGUCUAUACUCACAUUCUUUGGUACCGACUGACAAAAAAAUAACGACUUUGAUUAUGCGUUCCCCCCCUUUAGUGAUAUUGAUACGGUAAUUGCCGGCACCAGCAAGAUGUGAAAUUUUACUGGAAAUAAACUAAAUUAUAAUAUUUA